GCAGCUAGCUGAAAACUGCUCCUCUGGGUUUGGUAUCUUAAAACCUGUGGUACUAAACGCAGAGACCACCUGCAGUUUGCCAGCCUCUUCCACAAUCAAGAAAGAUUAGUAAAGUGUAUGUCUCACAUCCCACAUUUUCAGGAGGACAUGAAAUGCUGAGAGUUCCAAGCUACUGGGUUCAUGCUGUUUUCCAUCAAGGUUCUUGCUGAUUUCCCUAGCUACAGACAUCCCCUGUUCCAGAAUUGAAGUACAGAAGAAUGUUGAUCUGAUUCUUUGUGGCAAGACCUUUUUAUUCCUAGAUUAAAAUCUUGCUUUAAAAUUGUAGCCAGGAUACCUUGAUUCCAGCUAUGUAAACGUCUCCUCCAAUAUACUCAACUCCAGGAACCCCAUACACUUGGUAAUGUUCCUGUGUUCAGCUUGUGUGCUCCUGCAUUUAUUACUAUGUCAUCCCUUGGAGUUGAUUUUUGCAAAAAUGUUCAGUUUUCUAAUAUGCUUAAUAGAUCUCAGAGAAGUCCACUAAAAUACCUAUUGUACAAUAUUCUGCUUGCAAGGAAUGAAACACAAAGGAAUCACAAGCGUUUCAGUAAGAGUAGAGCAUUAAGAAGACUGGAGAGAGUGCAUAGGAUGUCACACUCAAUUUAGAGCUAUCAAUGCAGAGAAGGCCAAGGAAGAUAAUCCAGCACAGAAAGCAAACAAGCAAAUAAACAAACCACAGAAAAGGCUACAUGUAAAAGGAAGACAAAGAACUCGGCUGCAAGUUAAAACUCAUUUCCCACUUCCUGCGUCCCCGUUGUUUUGCCUGUGACUGUAGAUCAAGUAAUACCUUUUCCUGUGCCACUUAAGGGGGAAAAGCAAAGUAAACAAAACAAACAGACUUCAAGCAUUUUCUCUCACUCUGUUCCUGUUCUCUUUAAUGCAUGGCAUUUUACCUUUACAUAGAUUCUUCAUUUUUAGCAACGCUUUGCACACACGAAAUCCUGUAUACCUGUAUGCAUGUGCAAUUUCUUAAAACAAGUUGUCUCCCUAAAUAUCUGCUAACAUAUUUUCCACUAACCUUAAUCUACAGAACAUGGUAUCACUGAUGAACAUUGUCUUCAAGGGGAGAAUACUUCAGUAUUGUUGCAGGACAGUCAUUACACUAUAAGUCAGAGACAGCUAAAUACUGACAGAAAAAAGCAUGAGAUACUCCUAUUUGGUUUCAAGUUCCCAAAAGAUUUCUCUGCACACUUUUAAAGCAGCAUUGGGAAUUUAAGUAUUGGUCAGGUGAAAGAGCAACUGCUAACAUGUCGCUUAUCAUGCUGCUGAUUGUCAACAUAAUGUGAACUUUUUCUUUUGUUGUAUCACAGUGAAAACUGAAGGUGAGAAAGCAGGAUAAUUAUAUUUCCCAGAUCUGCAUGGCUUGGUUUUCUUUGACUCGAAAUAGUACAAUAUUUAGCAAGAGAGGAGGGUGCAAACCGUGCCCUUAAGUCACACGGGUUCAUUUGUGUUGGGGCUUUUAAAGUUUCAUUUUCCCUUAUUGGUUCAUUCAAGCAAAAACAGCUUUCCCAAUGAUCCAAAAGAAAAUACAUUCAUGCUGUCACUGUAUCAAGUUUUCCAAUCAGCGAGCUUGCACAGGGAGAAUAAAGACAGUUACUGUCCCCAAAUGCUUUGUUCCCUGUUAAUGAUCCAAAUGCUAUCCCAGUUUCAAAACAACAACAAUAAAUAAAAAGGUGGCACAUCACGAUUUGUUGCUUAUUCCAUUCUGAAUUUUGGGCAGGUCCAUUUAUCACCCUUUAAAACUCCCAGGGCAGCAGGUGGAAACAUCUGUUUGAGCAACAGUUUGACUCCUGUCAUUUUGUACAAAUCUCUAGAUGUAAAAGUUUUAUGAGGUGGAUACGUUCCUGUUUCAUCCUUUUGUAACUGACUGAAGGCCCAAGUAAACAAGAUGAAAUGGCCAGACUUUGAGCCAUAUGCCAACACCCACGUGUGUAUGUAUGGGAGGGAAAAGAAGCUGUCAGCUGUACCAAAGAAACAUUGUAAUUAUCUGAAAAGUAAUUAACAACCCCAUGGGCAAUGGAUCUUUGAUGGAUUCUAGCAGUGUAAAUUAUAGCUCUCACAUACCUGUA